rnacentral:rRNA from 1 species
AACAGGGAUUGCCUCAGUAACGGCGAGUGAAGCGGCAACAGCUCAAAUUUGAAAUCUGGCCCCAGGCCCGAGUUGUAAUUUGCAGAGGAUGCUUUUGGUGCGGUGCCUUCCAAGUUCCCUAGAACGGGACGCCAGAGAGGGUGAGAGCCCCGUACAGUUGGACACCAAGCCUUUGUAAAGCUCCUUCGACGAGUCGAGUAGUUUGGGAAUGCUGCUCAAAAUGGGAGGUAUAUUUCUUCUAAAGCUAAAUACCGGCCAGAGACCGAUAGCGCACAAGUAGAGUGAUCGAAAGAUGAAAAGCACUUUGAAAAGAGGGUUAAACAGCACGUGAAAUUGUUAAAAGGGAAGCGCUUGUGACCAGACUUGCGUCCGGUGAAUCACCCAGCUCUCGCGGCUGGGGCACUUCGCCGGCUCAGGCCAGCAUCAGCUCGCUGUCGGGGACAAAAGCUUCAGGAACGUAGCUCUCUUCGGGGAGUGUUAUAGCCUGUUGCACAAUACCCUUCGGCGGGCUGAGGUACGCGCUCCGCAAGGAUGCUGGCAUAAUGGUCAUCAGCGACCGC